rnacentral:rRNA from 1 species
AGGAGGUUGGCUUAGAAGCAGCCAUCCUUUAAAGAAAGCGUAAUAGCUCACUGGUCUAGUGAUUUCGCGCGGAAAAUAUAACGGGGCUAAAAUGAGUACCGAAGCUUUAGACUUGCACUUAAUUCUAAUUAUAAAUUUAGCUAUGAGCUUUUAAGUUAUAUUUCUCAUAAUUUAAUUGCACUCAUAUAAAUUAAAUUAUGAGAAAAUAGUUUAGCUAAAAUAAUUAGAAGUAAUUAGAAUUAAGUGCAAGUGGUAGGAGAGCGUUGUAUUUAGCGUCGAAGGUAUACCGGUAAGGAGUGCUGGAGCAAAUACAAGUGAGCAUGCAGGCAUGAGUAGCGAUAAAAGGGGUGAGAAUCCC